rnacentral:lncRNA from 1 species
AUCGGGUACCAUCUUUACCGGCACUUGGAUCCGGCGGGGAGUCCGUUUACCCGGUUGAUACAAGUGGCGGUGGCUGCCUACAAGAAGAGAAAGCUGUCUAUGGUGUCUGAUCCUAGAAUGUUGUAUCAGAAUGAUGAACUCGACGGUCCUAUUUCAUUGGGUGGAAAGCUUCUUCACACUAAGCAUAUGAAGUAACUCUCUCUCUUUCUCUCUCUCUCUCUCUCUCUCUCUCUCUCUCCCUCUCUCUCUCCCUCUCAUGUUGCAUGUGUAUUGUGGCUCUAAACCACUAAUUAAGUUGAUUUUUGUCAAAAUGUUGGCCCUAAUUCAUCAUUUAACAACAUAAACUCAAUAAUAUAAUUAUAUAUACACAGCACUAUCGUAUCACGUUUUGCAGUAAGAAAAUAAGAUAAUGCAUGAAACUAUCACAUGAACUAUUUUCACUAUAUAUGACCUCUCAUAUAUUUCAUUAUUUCUCUGUCUUUUGCUAUAUAAUAUGAGAAUCUUAUACGAUAAAAUACAUGGUUUCUACGAAAAUCCCUAAUCCUAUUUCCACUACAAUAAAAUAGGAUUCCUGCCAAGAAAAGUCUCGAUUAUACACAUAUACAUAUGUUAAGUCUAGAAGAUGAACAUAAUUAUCAGGGUUAGGUGGAAACAGGUUGCAGGUAAUGACUAGGUCGUUUUGUCCAUGCACUGCUCAUGUUUUGGAUGUAGGGACCACAAUCCCUUGACCUUUCAUGGAUGAGCUGCACCACGUACUUCUGUUUCUGUCACUGCUAUGCAACAAAAAUCUCACGUCCUCUGCUCUAUUAGCAGAGACUCAGAGUCAUCCCCACCUCCAGUCCAUAGCGACCCAACAAAUAUAUAGAAAGGAAGAACAUGCGACCUAGUCACUUUUUGAAUUUCCACAACGUGGCUGCACUUAGCUUCACAUGUGUGCGAGUCUAAAUCAUUGGUUAACUGAUACAGACAGUUUAGGUUUAAUAAAAUUCAUAUCACGAUAAUUGGACGGUUAAGGUUUCAUUAAAUUGAUUGUUUGUAUGAUAUAAGCGUCUUAUCUUGAUAGACUGUUUAACAAUUUAACAACGUUACAUAUGGUGAAAUAAUGCAGAUUUCUUGACAAGGCAGCGAUCGUAACGGAGGAGGACAAUCUCAAAGCACCAAACCUAUGGAGGAUCAACACCGUUCAUCGCGUCGAGGAACUGAAAUCAAUAAUCAGAAUGGGACCUAUAUGGGGAUCAGGAAUACUCCUCAUCACAGCCUAUGCCCAGCAAAGCACAUUCUCACUCAACCAAGCCAAAACCAUGGACAGGCAC